GUGGUACGCUUCGAUCUUAAAUGGUGACGCUUACCCGGCGACGACAGUUCUUUGCUCAGCGAUACCACCGCCCCAUAAAGAAGUUAUAGAAGCGUCCAUCGCUGCCGACGAACACGACGAGGAAUCAAAGUGACGAUGGUUGUGCUCUUUGUUUUCGCGACAAUCAUCAGUUUAUAUGGUGAUUUCGGUGGCUGAUUUUGCGUUACAGGAUCGUCAAUCAUUGGUUGUUUGUUUAGUUCCUCUUCACCAGAGACGGGCGAUGAUUGUGGUUAAAUCCGUUAGGGCUUUUGUUAAGCAAAGGAUGUCACGUAUGAGCGGAAGUGAGAAACAUGGCAAAUUUUUAGCUUUAAUCUGGUUUAAUAUUUGCAGUUCCUUCAAUGUUUUCACAUUUAGGGCAUAAUUAUUUAGGCUAAGUGUAGGCUGUUUGGAAUUUUAACUCCCUUAUGAAAGUGAUGCAACAUGGAGAGAGAUUUCAUGGGUUUAGAUUCCGAGGAAAAAGUCAUUGAAGCAAGUGUUCGACUUAAUGCUCAGUUGAAAGUAUAUGUAAGUUUGAGUUUAAUCAUCAAGAGCUGAAAUAAAAUGAUGUUUGUACAUAUGUUCUCUGUUGAUGGAUGUCCUGUUGUCAAACUACUUCAAGAUAUGAGUAACGAUGGUGACCUCGGUGACAGUUGGUAUAAUCUUUAGGUUUCUUGGUAGAGUGCUGCUAGCGGGAGUAUGGGUCGGAUUGGUUUAAGAUACGGGAUUUCACAAUGAGGGACAUCAUAACGCCUGCAAUCUGUGCCAACUAAAAGCAAUAGUUUUAAAGGUGCCUCACACAUUGCAGGCUAACUAGAAACAAUAGUUUCCAAGGUGCUUCACACAACGACUCAUCGGCAGAGGAUGGGUAAGAUGGUAAGAUAGGCGUUCACAAUCAAAGGGCGACAACCAAUGAUUUGCCCAUUUAUGUGAUGAUAUUGUUCAAGAUAUAGCGAGUAGGGGCGUAGCUUUGUGGAGGGCCGGGGGGACCCCCGAACUUUUCGCUCAGUGGU